CCCGGCCGUGUGCGCUCCGGGGCCAUGGCCGAGCCGUGCCCGGGGCUGGCCCUGCGCUUCCAGCGCCGCUUCCUGGCGGCGCGGCCGCUCCGCUCGCUGCCCUGGCCGGAACUCGAGCAAAGCCUGCGGACUGCGCCGGACUCCGCGCUGCUGGCGGAUAUUCUGCACAAGACAAUUCUUCACCCUCUGUGUGUGAAAUAUCCCCCUUCAGCCAAGUACAGGAGGUGCUUCCUGACUGAGCUCAUCAAAAAGCUGGAAUCCACAGCAGCUGAACCCCUGGAUGAACUCUACGAGGCACUGGCAGAUGUUCUGAAAGAAGAAGAGGAAUCUACUCACUGUUACAAAAACUACUUACUGCCCUCCGGGGACUGUGUGAGCCUCUGCGAGAGCACAGCGCUGAUCUCCGGGGGCACCACGGGGCUCCUCACCUGGGAGGCUGCCCUGCACCUGGCCCAGUGGGCCCUGCAGAACCCCAGCCUCUUCAGGGGCAGGACAAUCCUGGAAUUGGGGAGUGGGGUUGGCUUCACUGGAAUUGCCAUCUGCAAGAGCUGCCAGCCCAGGACAUUCAUAUUCAGUGACUGCCACCCCCGUGUUCUCAGCCAGCUGGGGGAGAACCUGCAGCUGAACGGCCUCAGCCCGGAGCCGGACGGGACCUGGAGCCUCCAGACAGAGUCCCAGGGACAGGAGGGGGAAGGACAGAGCUGCCAAACCCCCAGAGUGAUUGUGGCUGAGCUGGACUGGGGCUCAGUGACAGAGAAACAGCUGCUGGCCCUCAGAGCUGAUGUUGUGAUUGCAGCAGAUGUGGUGUAUGAUCCUGAGAUAAUUGUAGCCCUCAUUGGGAUGCUACAGAAACUCUCCACCUCCAGAGCAGACAGGAAAGCUCCUGAGGUGUUCAUUGCCUCCACAAUCCGAAAUCCAGCCACGUAUCAGCUGUUCCAGGCUGAGCUGGAUAAAGCUGGGAUCAGGUGGCAGGUGAUUCCAGCCCACAGCAGCUGUAAUUUUCUCUGUGAUGUGCAGCCUGAUGUAACUAUUCUACAGCUAUUUGUAUAACAGCAAACAGAACUGGAAUUUAGAGACCAACAGGAGCCCUGUCAGCCCUGUAACAAGAUUAUCCUGAAUUGUGGAAAGGAGGUUCUGAGGAUACAGCUGGACACAUGGAGUCCUUCCUCCAAUUCCCAGCAUGGAUCCAAGCCUGCAGCUGCCCCUGGGAAGUGACUGAACCUCAAGCAACAGGAACCAAAAAGCCCCAAUCACACUUCACUUGGAUUCUGUAGAAGACAGCAGAAUUCAAGCAGAGAUUUUUCCCAACUCUGUUGUGAUUUUGGCUGCUGGGAAUCCAGGCAGGGCUGGCAAUGAAAAAGGAAUCUCUCUCCAUAGCAGAGUUCCAGGUAUCCUGCAGAAAGGACUGAGCUUCCCUGCUCUGAAACCUCCCAUCAUCAUUCAUCCCUCUCCUGUUGGGUAGCAUUGGUCCUGAAGCACAAACAUCAAAGUGAUGCUCAUUCUUCUCUUUUAGCUUCCUUUUCUCUACUAAAAACUACUUAAAA